UAGGGAAUCUUCGGCAAUGGGGGCAACCCUGACCGAGCAACGCCGCGUGAGUGAAGAAGGUUUUCGGAUCGUAAAGCUCUGUUGUAAGAGAAGAACGAGUGUGAGAGUGGAAAGUUCACACUGUGACGGUAACUUACCAGAAAGGGACGGCUAACUACGUGCCAGCAGCCGCGGUAAUACGUAGGUCCCGAGCGUUAUCCGGAUUUAUUGGGCGUAAAGCGAGCGCAGGCGGUUAGAUAAGUCUGAAGUUAAAGGCUGUGGCUUAACCAUAGUACGCUUUGGAAACUGUUUAACUUGAGUGCAGAAGGGGAGAGUGGAAUUCCAUGUGUAGCGGUGAAAUGCGUAGAUAUAUGGAGGAACACCGGUGGCGAAAGCGGGCUCUCUGGUCUGUAACUGACGCUGAGGCUCGAAAGCGUGGGGAGCAAACAGGAUUAGAUACCCUGGUAGUCCACGCCGUAAACGAUGAGUGCUAGGUGUUGGGUCCUUUCCGGGACUCAGUGCCGCAGCUAACGCAUUAAGCACUCCGCCCUGGGGAGUACGACCGCAAGGUUGA
rnacentral:rRNA from 1 species